AUUGAACGCUGGCGGCAGGCCUAACACAUGCAAGUCGAACGAGUGGCGGACGGGUGAAUAAUAUAUUGGAAACUGCCUGGUGGAGGGAGAUAAAUACUUGAAACGGUAGCUCAUACCGCAUACCAUCGGAGGUGCCCAGAUGGGAUUAGCUAGUUGGUGGGGUAAAGGCUCACCAAGGCGACGAUCCCGAGCUGGUCUGAGAGGAAGACCAGCCACACUGGGACUGAGCCACGGUCCAGCCUCUGACGGGAGGCAGCAGUGGGGAAUAUUGCACAAUGGGCGCAAGCCUGAUGCAGCCAUGCCGCGUGUAUGAAGAAGGCCUUCGGGUUGUAAAGUACUUUCAGCGGGGAGGCGUUACCCGCAGAAGAAGCACCGGCUAACUCCGUGCCAGCAGCCGCGGUAAUUC
rnacentral:rRNA from 1 species